GUGCUAGCUUCAGCAGCAUAUGUACUAAAAUUGGAAUGAUACAGAGAAGAUUAGCAUGGCCUCUGUGCAAGGAUGACACCCAAAUUCAUGAAGAGUUUCAUAUUUUU
ensembl:snRNA U6 U6 spliceosomal RNA